UACGUAGGGGGCAAGCGUUGUCCGGAAUAAUUGGGAGUAAAGAGUGCGUAGGCGGUAAGGUAAGUAGGUUGUGAAAACUCACAGCUCAACUGUGGGCGUGCGGGCGAUACGGGCAGACUUGAGUACUGCAGGGGAGACUGGAAUUCCUGGUGUAGCGGUGGAAUGCGCAGAUAUCAGGAGGAACACCGGUGGCGAAGGCGGGUCUCUGGGCAGUAACUGACGCUGAGGAGCGAAAGCGUGGGGAGCGAACAGG
rnacentral:rRNA from 1 species